UUUUUUUGUGGGGGAGGGGGUUUCUGAGACAAGGUUUCUCUGUGUAACAGCCCUGGCUGUCUGGGAAUUCACACUGUAGACCAGACUGGCCUAGAACUCACAGAGAUCCGCCUAUCUCCGGCUCCUGGGUGCUGGGAUUAAAGGAAUGUACCACCACCACACAGCUCCUCCAUCACUUUUUAAGUCAAGGGGCUGGAGAGAUGGCUCAGCAGUUAAGAACACUGACUGUUCUUCCAGAGGUCCUGAGUUCAAUUCCCAGAAACCACAUGGUAGCUCACAGCCACCUUGAAUGAGAACUGGUGCCCUCUGCUGGCAUGCAGGCAGAAGACUGUAUGCAUAAUAAUAAAUAAAUAAAUAAACUGUUUUAAAAAAAUCUGCCUUUCCUACUAAAAUGUAAAUUCUAGAAGGCUGUGUCUGACUGUCUGAUGUCAGAGACUCUGCCUGACAUAUAGAAAUACAGAAUUGUUGUGCAACCUUAAGCCUCAUAAAAGAUCCCUGAUUCAAAUUCACCUCUAGCUCUGUACAACAGAAUUAACAGCCACUUUUGUAAAUGAAGAAACAAACUGACAUGCAGUGAAUUAUUCAGCUAUGGUCAAUCCAUUCAAAAAGAUGCAGUGGAAUUUCAGAUAUACACUGAGCUGAAAUCGGGAAUUUAGUUGAAGAGAGGGAGGAAUGAAGAACGAAGGGGUCUGUACCAGGUUGGAGAAACCCACAGGAACAGUUGGCCUGAACAAGGGAGAGCACAUCGACCCCAGAUGCUGUCGGGGAGACCAGUACAAGACCUAUCCAGACCCCUGAACAUGGAUGUCAAUAAGGAGGCCUCUGCACUCCAGGGAGCCUCUGGUGGUGGAUUAGUAUUUUACCCUGGUGCAAGAAGGGAUUUUGAGAGUCCAUCCCACGUGAAGGGUUACACUCUGGCCCUGGACACAUGGGGAAGGGCCCAGGACCAGCACAGGAAGAUUUGGU
rnacentral:lncRNA from 1 species